AACGAACGCUUGCGGCGCGCCUAAUACAUGCAAGUCGAACGAGGUAGCAAUACCUAGUGGCGCACGGGUGAGUAACGCGUGGAUAAUCUGCCCUUCAGUGGGAAAUAACUAGCCGAAAGGUUAGCUAAUACCGCAUGAGACCACGAUCCCUGCGGGGAUUGAGGCUAAAGAUUUAUUGCUGAAGGAUGAGUCUGCGUGGGAUUAGCUAGUUGGUGGGGUAAUGGCCUACCAAGGCGACGAUCUCUAACUGGUCUGAGAGGAUGACCAGUCACACUGGAACUGAGACACGGGCCAGACUCCUACGGGAGGCAGCAGUAGGGAAUAUUGCGCAAUGGGGGAAACCCUGACGCAGCGACGCCGCGUGAGUGAUGAAGGCCUUAGGGUCGUAAAGCUCUGUUGUACGGGAAGAAACAAAUGACGGUACCGUAUAAGAAAGGACCGGCUAACUUCGUGCCAGCCGCCGCAGUAA
rnacentral:rRNA from 1 species